UCCUCGGUAGUAUAGCGGUUAGGGCCCGAGUCAUUCUAGUGCGAAACCCGGGUUCAAUUCCCGGCCGGGGAG
rnacentral:tRNA from 1 species